rnacentral:rRNA from 1 species
AACCUUUCGGGGUUUAGUGGCGGACGGGUGAGUAACGCGUGAGAAUCUGGCUUCAGGUCUGGGACAACCACUGGAAACGGUGGCUAAUACCGGAUGUGCCGAGAGGUGAAAGGUUAACUGCCUGAAGAUGAGCUCGCGUCUGAUUAGCUAGUUGGCAGUGUAAUGGACUACCAAGGCGACGAUCAGUAGCUGGUCUGAGAGGACGAUCAGCCACACUGGGACUGAGACACGGCCCAGACUCCUACGGGAGGCAGCAGUGGGGAAUUUUCCGCAAUGGGCGAAAGCCUGACGGAGCAAUACCGCGUGAGGGAGGAAGGCUCUUGGGUCGUAAACCUCUUUUCUCAGGGAAGAACACAAUGACGGUACCUGAGGAAUAAGCAUCGGCUAACUCCGUGCCAGCAGCCGCGGUAAUACGGAGGAUGCAAGCGUUAUCCGGAAUGAUUGGGCGUAAAGCGUCCGCAGGUGGCGAUGUAAGUCUGCUGUUAAAGCGUCUAGCUCAACUAGAUAAGAGCAGUGGAAACUACAUUGCUAGAGUGCGUUCGGGGCAGAGGGAAUUCCUGGUGUAGCGGUGAAAUGCGUAGAGAUCAGGAAGAACACCAGUGGCGAAGGCGCUCUGCUAGGCCGCAACUGACACUGAGGGACGAAAGCUAGGGGAGCGAAUGGGAUUAGAUACCCCAGUAGUCCUAGCCGUA